rnacentral:misc_RNA from 1 species
CGCAGUGCGCAUGCGACAACAUGUCGCCACUCCGCGGAAACAUGCGAUAUUAGUGAUCGAUAGAAAAUAAAGCGCACAAAGCAAAAGUGCGCGUAAAGCUUGGCCAAGCUUGGCGGAGAAGGGAGAGCGAAAGAGAGAGAGAGAGAGCGCGGUGUCCGUUAACGAGCGAAUUUCCCGAUCGGGUGGAAUCCUAGACGCGCGCGAGGAUGGACUUCAACGUGAAGAAGCUGGUGAAGGAUGCGGGAGCCGCCCUCAGCAGAGUCGUGCAGUUAACAGAGGAGACGCUGGGCACCUCGGAAAAAACAGAGUUGGACGCGCACUUAGAGCAUUUAGUGGAGAGAGGAAAUGCCACCAAAACGUGGACAGAGAAGAUACUGCGAAACAUGGAAGCUGUGCUCACUCCGAAUCCUGGCAAUAGGAUCGAAGAUUUCUUCUAUGAAAAGAUUGAUAAGAAGAAACCUAAUAGGCUGAGCAACUUGGAGUAUGUAGGCAUUGAUAUGAUUCAAGCUGGAAACGAUUUUGGUCCAGGAGUAGCUUAUGGCAGCGCGUUAAUAAAGGUUGGCCAAUGCCAGCAGAAGUUGGGACAGGUUGAGAGAGAUUUUAUAGGGAUCGCUGCUAACUGUUACAUACAGCCUUUGAGGAAGUUUCUGGAUGGAGAGAUGAAAACUGUUAGCAAGGAGAUGGCAAUAUUGGAAACUAAAAGAUUGGACUUGGACGCGUGUAAAAACAGAGUGAGAAAAGCGAGAAGUCUGCUGGGCCAACAGAGUGCAGAGAGGGAGUUGAGGGUAGCGCAGUCGGAAUUCGAUCGGCAAGCGGAGAUCGUGAAGCUGCUGCUGGAGGGUGUUUCAAGCUCGCAAGCUGGACACCUGCGAUGCCUGCACGAGUUCGUGGAAGCGCAAGCCCGCCACCACGCCCAGUGUCACGCCGUCAUGCAGGACCUGCAGCGCGAGCUCGCCGGAGCGCGUCAACCGAGUCCUUUGCUGAGAGUCAACAGCGAAGAAGUGAUCGAGCUGACACCCUCGCCUACGCUCCCCGUUAAUUCAUCCGUCUACCCUCAAAGCUCGCCAAUAACCGCCGCCGGUUCCACCACUUACGUUACUGCCACCUUCGACACUGAUAUCAGUAAAGUCUAGCUCGGCUAGGCUCGCCCUCGCCCCGCUCGCUGUGUGACGGCGCAGUCGACAUCGAUGAUGACUCUCCAGAGAGUUUAAUUAGCGAUUCGCGCGAUUGUGGGAGAGAGACGGGCCCAUCCACGACGUCCAGCGUUGUGCGAAGUAUAAACGAGAACGCCGCUUCUUCUUCUCUCUUCAAGGAUCGAUCGGGGUUGCUCCCGCUACGAUAUGCGCGAACUAGAACCUAGUUAGUUGAAAUUAAUCGCUUCAUCGCUGCGCCGGACUCGUCGUCGAGUACAUGGACGUGAUGCUGUAACUUGAACAUGAAACACAGACCUGUACAUAUAUGUCCUACCUGGGGGUCCCUAUUACACCACCCCACCAGCCUCCACCAAUGCAUUAGCAGAGAACGAUCAGGACCGAGCGAGAGUGUUAUGCAAUUACGACGCGAGAGAUCCUAGCGAAUUAAGCGUCGUGCAGGACGAG